AGAGAGAGAACAGGGAAUUAGGCCUUUUCUGUUGCUCAGAGUCCCAAGGGUUGCUAACUCUGGUGCAUUACUUUCUACUACGUGUCCAGCAGUGGUAAGGACAAGCAGCAGUGUCUGUCUUGACUUGAGUGGCCUUGAGAGAUCCUUGUGGGUUUGGGGUUUUUUCUCCUUGUUAGUCUCUAAGCAUAAGAGCAUGUCUUAUUCUUGUAGAAAAGGAAAAAGGAGAACAAAAUGAAGAAAAAGAAAGAAAAGAAGAAAAGGAAAGAGAAAACAGGACCUGUCCAGCUUUCCAAGUUCUUCAAAAACAAAAAGAAGAAUGAAAACUACAGCAUGAUAACCGGAAAGAAAAUUAAGAUGAAAAUAAAGAAGACUAAGGAAGAUAUAGAGAGAGACCGGAACCGUGCCCAGCUCCUGGAAUUUCUGAACUCUGCCUUGUAAUGGGAAGAGUCCUCACCAAGGACUGGUAGAUGCACCAAGCCAACCAUCAUCCUAGCAGAACACUAAAGAGAAACUCAGGGAAAAGGACACCAAGUUGGACAAGACCAGACCCGCCUACUGAGAAGAGAAUUGGGAUGUCCUUUCUUAAUGGCAAAACACAGAGUAGCUAAUAACUUGUUAAUGGAGAUCAUGUCCUCCUUUUGAGAUCCUAAGGUAAUAGCCAGGCUGUGGUGUUUUAGGAAAGCCCAAGUGUGUGUUGUUCAUAAUGAUCAGAAAUGACACACUGAAGUCCAGCAAUGUAAUUUCUAUCUUAACUGCAUGCAGAAUGCACUCUUAAUUUCAAAUGUCUUAAUUCUUGUAGUAGUUUAAGCAGAGUAUUUGUAAAUGUUUAUUUGAACAUUUGAACAUUUAUUUGAAAGAUGAGGUAUUUCUUUUAUGUAUAUUUUUUCUAGUAGUGGUUAUGCGUGUCAUAAAGAGCAAACUGACCUUUGUAAAUAGAGCAUCCUUUUACAUAAACGAUUUUUUUUGAAAGUUCAUUCACUAAUACAUUAUUUUCUUUCAGAAUUCGA